AAAUAUGAGGGCAAUCUGGACGUGACAUCUGUUACCCCAUUGAUCACCAGAGUUGAUUUGGCCUGACCUGGCUGGCUAGGCACCCCUUCCUUCCUCACCGCUCUGUGUCCGUCCCUCCAGAAGCUGUGUGCUCAGUUGAAGAGGACGACCAUCCCUGGUAGACGAGGACCAUUCCUUGGUCAAGGGUAUACAAGUAGCUGCGCUCCCCUGCUAGAACCUCCAAACAAGCUCUCAAACUGUAGCAAUUAGAAAAUGUGCUUUUUAAUUAUGUUUAAUGUCUGUCUCUCUUCACCAGAAUGCAAAUUCUGUCUGUUCUU
rnacentral:snRNA from 1 species